rnacentral:rRNA from 1 species
AUGCAUGGGCGCAGCCUGAUGCAGCGACGCCGCGUGAGGGAUGAAGGCCUUCGGGUUGUAAACCUCUUUCAGUAGGGAAGAAGCUGGCCUUUGGGUUGGUGACGGUACCUGCAGAAGAAGCGCCGGCUAACUACGUGCCAGCAGCCGCGGUAAUACGUAGGGCGCAAGCGUUAUCCGGAAUUAUUGGGCGUAAAGAGCUCGUAGGCGGUUUGUCGCGUCUGCCGUGAAAGUCCGGGGCUUAACUCCGGAUUUGCGGUGGGUACGGGCAGACUAGAGUGCAGUAGGGGAGACUGGAAUUCCUGGUGUAGCGGUGAAAUGCGCAAAUAUCAGGAGGAACACCGAUGGCGAAGGCAGGUCUCUGGGCUGUAACUGACGCUGAGGAGCGAAAGCAUGGGGAGCGAACAGGAUUAGAUACCCUGGUAGUCCAUGCCGUAAACGUUGGGCACUAGGUGUGGGGGACAUUCCACGUUUUCCGCGCCGUAGCUAACGCAUUAAGUGCCCCGCCUGGGGAGUACGGCCGCAAGGCUAAAACUCAAAUGAAAUUGACGG